AUGUUGCCAAUGGAGUUAAAUGGUCCUCCAUUUGGUCAACCAACACCUUCAACACAAGUGCCCACACAAGAUGAUUUUGAUGAUAUAGACAAGCUCACAUUGCUUAGUCUCGAGUUCACUUGGAGUGCCGAAGAUGAUCCAAUUAGGCCGGUGAUACUAGAGGAAAUGAAGAAGAUUAAGAGUGGAAAGGAGCUAGUGGAAGAAGUAAGGAAGAUUGAGAAGAUCAUCAACGCUGUCAGUACUAUCUCUUCCCUCCUUGAGCUGAGUUUUGCCGGGAUAUCCCUUGAGGUGUGUGAGGUUCCAACACCUUCACAUUCAGCUGAGCAAGAUAGCGAGAGUCCAGAGGAAAAGAUACUUCAGAUCCAAGAAGAAAUUCUCGAAGCCAAGGCACAAGAUGAUCCAGAGCUUGAAUAUCCAAAUGAAGAAGUUGAAGAUCCAAUGUCUAUCUCUCCCGAAGAAGUAAAAGAAGCUGCUGUAGAUGAACUUGAAGAACCAGAAAUUCAUUUGCCUAUUGUCACACAAGAGCGUGAUGUAGCAGGUUUAUCUAAUCCUCUUGAUGACAUGAGUCCUUAUGAUUUAUUUGCUUCUACCUUGCAUUACAUGAUGCCAUUACUUAAGAUUGAUUUGAAAACUCAUUAG
rnacentral:rRNA from 1 species